rnacentral:rRNA from 1 species
UACGUAGGGUGCAGGCGUUAAUCGGAAUUACUGGGCGUAAAGCGUGCGCAGGCGGUUUCUUAAGUCAGAUGUGAAAGCCCCGGGCUUAACCUGGGAACUGCGUUUGAAACUGGGAGACUUGAGUGUGGCAGAUGGGGGGUGGAAUUCCACGUGUAGCAGUGAAAUGCGUAGAUAUGUGGAGGAACACCGAUGGCGAAGGCAGCCCCCUGGGUUAACACUGACGCUCAUGCACGAAAGCGUGGGGAGCAAACAGG